UCUCGAUUGUAAAAGGCUGGAUCGCGGAUGGGGAGCGCGAGCGUGAGGAAACCGGCCGCCAUCUUACUGUACCCACAACAGUCGCCGCAGCGAUCAUGGCAACUUCUUGCAAUUACGGUCGUACCAACCGUACUGGCAAGGAUACAGGGCCUAAAUUUCUACAGGUUUCGUCAUGUGGACUACCCAGUGAAUAAUCUGUGCAGUGUGAUACGACUGGGUGUACAGAUAAGUAUCAAGUUCCUCAUCCACUGGUUUCUACUUUACAGGAAGGAACCACCUCAGUGCACGCACUGUGGUUAGCCUCUCUCAAAUUUGCACAUUUUCAUACAUGUUGACAUCAGAAACACACCUUAGGCUCCUUCACCCAGCAAUAUAAUAAUUAUAAUUAUUUUUAGAAGAGUUCCCCAUAUUCUUUUUAGAAUAGGUUUUAAUAUUUUCAAUUUUUAGAAGAUACAGGGAUUGUAAGCCAUGUUUUAAACUGAUGUUUUAACAUUUGUCCAAUGCAUUUAUUAAACAACAUUCAUUUUUAACUGGUUGCACCCAAACCAAUGUUCUGAUGUAUUAUUGCCUUUGUUGUCGAUGCACCAUAAAAACUGGAAUAAUCAUCAAUACAGGUUACUUCACAGCUGCCUCGACAUACUCAAGAAAUGGGUGCUUAACCUGCGUAAUGCCCACAAACUUUGACUACCACAGCACCUCCAGAAAGUAAAAGCAUAUGUGUCACAUGGGAUUUUUAAAGGCAUUCACAGUAUAUAAUACCUUGUGUGAACUGUUGUAGAUCUAAGCAGCCUCUACAGUACACUCUCAGAAAUUAAAACAUGUCAGGGAACUGUGAUAA